UACGGAGGGUGCAAGCGUUAUCCGGAUUCACUGGGUUUAAAGGGUGCGUAGGAGGGCAGGUAAGUCAGUGGUGAAAUCUCCAAGCUUAACUUGGAAACUGCCGUUGAUACUAUCUGUCUUGAAUACCGUGGAGGUGAGCGGAAUAUGUCAUGUAGCGGUGAAAAGCUUAGAUAUGACAUAGAACACCAAUUGCGAAGGCAGCUCGCUACACGAAUAUUGACUCUGAGGCACGAAAGCGUGGGGAUCAAACAGG
rnacentral:rRNA from 1 species